AGGGUUUGAUCAUGGCUCAGGAUGAACGCUAGCGGCAGGCCUGACACAUGCAAGUCGAGGGGUAACAGGGAGUGCUUGCACUCUGCUGACGACCGGCGCACGGGUGCGUAACGCGUAUGCAACCUACCUUCCACAGGGGGAUAGUCAAUAGAAAUGUUGAAUAAUACCCCAUACGAUCUAAAGAUCACCUGAUCAAUAGAGGAAAACUCCGGUGGUGGAAGAUGGGCAUGCGUCCUAUUAGUUAGUUGGUGAGGUAACGGCUCACCAAGACUACGAUAGGUAGGGGUCCUGAGAGGGAGACCCCCCACACUGGUACUGAGACACGGACCAGACUCCUACGGGAGGCAGCAGUGAGGAAUAUUGGACAAUGGAGGCAACUCUGAUCCAGCCAUGCCGCGUGCAGGAAGACUGCCCUAUGGGUUGUAAACUGCUUUUAUACAGGAAGAAAUGUACCUACGUGUAGGUAUUUGACGGUACUGUAAGAAUAAGGAUCGGCUAACUCCGUGCCAGCAGCCGCGGUAAUACGGAGGAUCCAAGCGUUAUCCGGAAUCAUUGGGUUUAAAGGGUCCGUAGGCGGUUUUUUAAGUCAGAGGUGAAAUCCUGCAGCUCAACUGUAGCAUUGCCUUUGAUACUGAGAGACUUGAGUUAUUGUGAAGUAGUUAGAAUGUGUAGUGUAGCGGUGAAAUGCAUAGAUAUUACACAGAAUACCAAUUGCGAAGGCAGAUUACUAACAAUACACUGACGCUGAGGGACGAAAGCGUGGGUAGCGAACAGGAUUAGAUACCCUGGUAGUCCACGCCGUAAACGAUGGAUACUAGCUGUUCGAGCAACAAUGGUUGUUUGAGUGGCUAAGCGAAAGUGAUAAGUAUCCCACCUGGGGAGUACGCUCGCAAGAGUGAAACUCAAAGGAAUUGACGGGGGGCCCGCACAAGCGGUGGAAGCAUGUGGUUUAAUUCGAUGAUACGCGAGGGAACCUUACCAGGGCUUAAAUGUAAGUUGCAUAGAUCAGAGAUGGUCUUUUCUUCGGACUACUUACAAGGUGCUGCAUGGUUGUCGUCAGCUCGUGCCGUGAGGUGUCAGGUUAAGUCCUAUAACGAGCGCAACCCCUGUCGUUAGUUGCCAUCAGGUUAAGCUGGGUACUCUAACGAGACUGCCGGUGCAAACCGUGAGGAAGGUGGGGAUGACGUCAAAUCAUCACGGCCCUUACGUCCUGGGCUACACACGUGCUACAAUGGCCGGUACAGAGAGCAAGCCACUACGCGAGUAGGAGCGAAUCUAUAAAACCGGUCUCAGU
rnacentral:rRNA from 1 species